rnacentral:rRNA from 1 species
UACAGAGGUCCCGAGCGUUGUUCGGAUUCACUGGGCGUAAAGGGUGCGUAGGUGGCUGGGAAAGUUUGAUGUGAAAGCUCAGGGCUUAACCCUGAAAUGGCAUUGAAUACUGCCUGGCUGGAGGUUUGGAGGGGGGACUGGAAUUCUUGGUGUAGCAGUGAAAUGCGUAGAUAUCAAGAGGAACACCAGUGGCGAAGGCGAGUCCCUGGACAACACCCGACACUGAGGCACGAAAGCCGGGGGAGCAAACAGG